CACUGCCCCAAGUAGAUGCACAUCCCAAGGUUCAAUAUCCAGGAUACAGACUUUAUGUUCAGCCACCAUUGUUGGUGCAACCAACUAUGAUCCGGGAAGCACUAACUUAUUCACCUCAUCUCCUUCCCCCUCAGACAUCGGAAUCCGUUCGGAUUCGGGGUCAGACCCCUCCUCCGGGAUCAGUCACUCUCAAUCUUUCGAUUUGAGUACCUC
rnacentral:lncRNA from 1 species